UGUACUUUUGGGAAUGAAAGGAGGCGCCUGCAACUCUCCUUGGAUAAAAUAAGAGCCUGACUUGCCUGAAAAAGUGAUAAGAAGAUGCUCAGCUGUGAUCGGAGGGGAAGUCUCGGAGCAGAAGUCCAGAAUAAGUACAUGUGAUGGUCUCAAGCAUGUUUCUCAGUAUCACCAUUUCGCCGUCCUGUUGGUGCCGCUGCUGUUGAAGUCUAUGUGAAUGGUGCCCCCUGGUGGAAUGGAAAAGACAAAAAAAGCAAUCAUUGCUCCAAGUGUGGAAUACAUUCCUGCAGUGUCAUACUUUAGACCUUGAGGGAAUCUGCAGCCUGUAAAAACUGAAGACACAAUUGAAUUGCUAAUUAAACAUUGGAACCAGUUCAAUUAAAUGAUCCUCUAAGGAAAGGAUUUUAACUGGUGAAGUAGUAUUAAUCUCACUUUCCAGACUACUUAUCAUGGCAGAGCAAAGUUCUCCUUAGACAGC
rnacentral:lncRNA from 13 species